rnacentral:sRNA from 1 species
AAUAUGCAUCUGAAUGAAAUUGAGGCUGUGAUGGAACAGAAAGGGUUUGGGAGAGUGCAAUGUUCCGUUAUGCUCACGUUAGGCCUUUUACAGAUGUUGACAAUAGAUGAAACAAUGGGAAUGGGUAUCAUCGCACCCUCUGCUGUGUGUGAUCUACGCACGAGUCUUGUACAGUUAUCGACAAUUACGGCGGCUGCCUUUUUGGGUAUUAUUUGUUCCUCAUAUUUCUGGGGCUACAUCACGGAUAACAUGGAUCGGCGUUGGAUUUUACUGCAUACAAUUUCAAUAAGUAAUAUAUGCUCCGUUAUUUCCAUGCUUAUGGUAUCUACAGUAUUUUCAUGUGCAGCGUUGCUGGUCCCAGUUUUGUAGCAGUCACUUACCUCAGUG